rnacentral:rRNA from 1 species
ACGCUCGACACCUACGGGAGGAGCAGUCGGGAAUAUUGCGCAAUGGAGGAAACUCUGACGCAGUGACGCCGCGUAUAGGAAGAAGGUUUUCGGAUUGUAAACUAUUGUCGUUAGGGAAGAUACAAGACAGUACCUAAGGAGGAAGCACCGGCUAACUAUGUGCCAGCAGCUGCGGUAAUCUGAGGCGGGCUGGACAAGGC